UACGAAGGGUGCAAGCGUUACUCGGAAUUACUGGGCGUAAAGCGUGCGUAGGUGGUUCGUUAAGUCUGAUGUGAAAGCCCUGGGCUCAACCUGGGAAUGGCAUUGGAAACUGGCGACCUAGAGUGCGGUAGAGGGUAGUGGAAUUCCCGGUGUAGCAGUGAAAUGACGUAGAGAUCGGGAGGAACAUCCGUGGCGAAGGCGACUACCUGGACCAGCACUGACACUGAGGCA
rnacentral:rRNA from 1 species